rnacentral:rRNA from 1 species
GACGAACGCUGGCGGCGUGCCUAAUACAUGCAAGUCGAACGAGAGCGACCGGUGCUUGCACUGGUCAAUCUAGUGGCGAACGGGUGAGUAACACGUGGGUAACCUGCCCAUCAGAGGGGGAUAACAUUCGGAAACGGAUGCUAAAACCGCAUAGGUCUUCGAACCGCAUGGUUUGAAGAGGAAAAGAGGCGCAAGCUUCUGCUGCUGGAUGGACCCGCGGUGCAUUAGCUAGUUGGUGAGGUAACGGCUCACCAAGGCCGUGAUGCAUAGCCGACCUGAGAGGGUGAUCGGCCACAUUGGGACUGAGACACGGCCCAAACUCCUACGGGAGGCAGCAGUAGGGAAUCUUCCGCAAUGGACGCAAGUCUGACGGAGCAACGCCGCGUGAGUGAAGAAGGUUUUCGGAUCGUAAAACUCUGUUGUUAGAGAAGAAUAAGUGCUAGAGUAACUGUUAGCGCCUUGACGGUAUCUAACCAGAAAGCCACGGCUAACUACGUG